GUAGUAUUCCCUCCGUCCCAAAAUUCUUGUCUUACAUUUGUUUAGAUACGGAUGUAUCUAACACUAAAAUGUAACUAGAUACAUCCGUAUUUAGACAAAUUUAAGACAAGAAUUUUGGGACAGAGAGAGUACAAA
rfam:Triticum aestivum genome assembly, contig: Triticum_aestivum_CS42_TGACv1_scaffold_222595_3B